rnacentral:snRNA from 1 species
GUGCUCAGUUCGGUAACAUAUAUACUAAAAUUGGAACGAUACAGAGAAGAUUAGCAUGGCCCCUGCACAAGGAUGACAUGCAAAUUCGUGAAGCGUUCCAUAUUUUU